CUACCCUCAUUGAUUCUGAAGUCUCAACCUCUAGUCUAGUCUGCCAGUGCGUGGUCUUCGUGUUCGGACACUUGUCGAAACAUUGUGAACAAGAAACCCUAGCCGGAAACCAAGAAAAAUGAGUGACACAAAACCAAAUCGUGGUUAGAUGCAGACCCUGAGUUCUCAAACCUCAAUCGGUCAUGGCGUACCUCCCGGCGGAGGUGAUAACUGACAUACUCGCUCGUCUUCCUGUAAAGUACCUCCUCUGUCUAAGGUGCGUUUGCAAACCAUGGCGGUCCCUAAUCGACAGCCUGGAUUUCACUCAUUUUCAUAUUAAAAAAUCCGCAGAAACCAAAUCCCAUCUACGCCUUAUUCUCAGAAAGGGCUUUCAGCUUUUCACCGUCGACCUUGAUAACCCAAACGACGCCGUUGAGAUGCCUCACCCUUUAAUGUGCUACAGCCAUGAAAUCAAGAUAUUGGGCCUCUGCAACGGUUUGCUCUGUAUCUGUAAUGUGGCUGAGGACAUAGCUCUUUGGAAUCCAUCAAUAAAAACUCAUCGGCUGUUGCCCUUUUUGACAUCGGAGCGGGUUCGUGACCCGAGUAUAACUCUACGUGGUCCGAGAGUUUAUGGGUUAGGAUACGACGCAGCUCUUGACGAUUAUAAGCUUGUGAGGGUUUCGCAGUAUAUUGGAUUGAAUAACCUGUCUUUUGAAUCUCAGGUGAAGAUAUAUAGUUUGAGAACGAAUGAGUGGAAGGGUAUUGAAGAUAUGCCUUAUGCACUUCGCUAUACCAAGAAGAUGGGUGUUCAUGUGAAUGGUUUUUUGCACUGGGUUGUGCUUCGGAAGCUAGAAAUGGACGAAAAUGAACUAGUUGUGGCUCUUGAUAUUGUGGCAGAGUGUUACAAGGAGGUACCUUUGCCUGAGUCAUUUAACAAUUUGUUUCUUCUGGAUUUGGGGGUUUUAGAUGGAUGUCUCUGCAUUGUGGCUGUUCAGGAAGAUAUGGAUGUUGAGGUGUGGAUAAUGAGAGACUAUGGGGUCAAGGAGUCUUGGACAAAACUGGUUAAUCUCAAGUCUUAUAAACUUGUUAGGCCUUUGACUUAUUCAAAGAAUGGAGGCGAUGUUCUGUUUGAAACUAACCAUGAUAAGCUUUUUAUGUAUAAUUUGAAAAGUCAAAGUGUAAAAGAUGUUAAUAUUUGUGGUGUACCGGACUCCUUUGAGGCAUUGGUUUGUCUGAGCAGCCUUGUUUCAGUCAAUGCUAGUAGUAGAAGCCUGAACCAGGAAUCAAUAGAGAACCGAGACAGAAUGAGGGAUAAUUUUCUUUCUGAGGGCUUCAAGUUGGUGCUUUAGGUAACAGAAGAAGAAACUAAAUAAGAGGGGACAUGAGGUUAUUAGUACAUUCUUACCGUCAUAAUGCUGAAUGAGAAAAGGAUACAUGAGCUUGAGUAUUAGAGAGUUUAUAGACACGGACAUGGUGCCGAUGAAGUUCAGAUCAUGAUUUCUAUAUACACGCAUUUCAUUUGAGCCUGAUAUCCAUUUUCAUUCAGUAAAAGUACCUUUGUAACUUAUCAAGAAUUUAAUGUUGACUGUAAUUGUAAAUCAUGUCGUUCUGCUCAACCUAACUCUUGACAUUUUAUGCAUACCCACAGGUGAAUCUUAUCAAUGUUUUGCUCGAGGAAAAACAACUUGGUACUUGAUGAUGUGUUUCUUUUUCUUUCUAUGGUUCCUAAUUACAAAAUCUCAUCUCAUCUUAUCUUA